rnacentral:rRNA from 1 species
CCUACGGGAUGCAGCAGUGAGGAAUAUUGGUCAAUGGACGAGAGUCUGAACCAGCCAAGUAGCGUGAAGGAUGACUGCCCUAUGGGUUGUAAACUUCUUUUAUAUGGGAAUAAAAUGUUCCACGUGUGGGAUUUUGUAUGUACCAUAUGACUAAGGAUCGGCUAACUCCGUGCCAGCAGCCGCGUUAAUACGGAGGAUCCGAGCGUUAUCCGGAUUUAUUGGGUUUAAAGGGAGAGUAGGUUGGUUGUUAAGUCAGUUGUGAAAGUUUGCGGCUCAACCGUAAAAUUGCAGUUGAAACUGGCAGUCGUGAGUACAGUAGAGGUGGGCGGAAUUCGUGGUGUAGCGGUGAAAUGCUUAGAUAUCACGAAGAACUCCGAUUGCGAAGGCAGCUCACUGGACUGCAACUGACACUGAGGCUCGAAAGUGUGGGUAUCAAACAGGAUUAGAUACCCCAGUAGUC